UACGAAGGGGGCUAGCGUUGCUCGGAAUCACUGGGCGUAAAGGGCGCGUAGGCGGAUGGCACAGUCAGAUGUGAAAUUCCUGGGCUUAACCUGGGGGCUGCAUUUGAUACGUGUGAUCUGGAGUGAGGAAGAGGGUUGUGGAAUUCCCAGUGUAGAGGUGAAAUUCGUAGAUAUUGGGAAGAACACCGGUGGCGAAGGCGGCGACCUGGUCCUUAACUGACGCUGAGGCGCGAAAGCGUGGGGAGCAAACAGG
rnacentral:rRNA from 1 species